rnacentral:lncRNA from 1 species
AAAGGAAGGGGCUAGCCUAGAGGUCCCUUUGAGUUUUAUCUGUCUGUGACUUAGUAAUGGAGUUCUUGCCUCUCUGACUUCCCACUCUGUCUCUUUCCUUCUUGGCCUCAAGCUUCUGUCUUCUUCCUCCCUGCUCCCUGGUCUAUUUAGGCCUCCAAAGCAAGUUAACCAAGUUAUUCUGCCAAUGCUGCCAACAUGAAGAAGAACCUGAGAUCGUCACCAACAAGGCUCCAGAAGAAAAGAAGCCAGUGGAGGUGAAAACUGUGGUUCAGCAAAAUGAAAACUGGAUGACGGAGUGGGAAAAGCACCAACCUCGGGGAUCAGCAGAUAUAAAGAAGCAAUUGCCUCCAAAUUUUUACAGUAAUGAUUUUAGCUUUGCCAACCAAAAUAGGGCUAUCUACAACAGCUGCACCAUGAGGAGGAACUGAUGGUUCUAGUUAGCACCAUCAUCUGCAUCUACCUAAGAUCUCCCUAUCUUUAGGUCAGCUGAUGGCAGCUUAGAAAAUAUAUCUCUCAAGGUAAAAAAAAAUGUGUUGUAAAGCAGGAUUCAUGAAGACCAAUUCAGAAACUUCCCUAGGGGAGAAGAAAUGGUUGGAACCUUCCCUGUGGUACACACACACAAAAAAAAAAAACAACUUCAGAAAACCUACCUAGGGGGCAUCCUAUCUCUAAGGAAUGGCCACCAAUUAAAGCUGUUACAUAAUAUAAACAUGUCUGUGUA